UGCACUGACUUUGCUUGCCAAUUGCGUACGUUCUUCGAAAGAUACUUUACAGUGAGGCCAUAAACAUUUACGCGUUUUCGGGCAAGUGGAAAAUGGAAGAAGGAUUUUACGAAUUUCUCUCAUUUUAAAUGCAUAAAUAAUUUUGGAAAAUAUUUAAUUUAUGCGCGGUUAGUGGUUUCAGGAAUUAAAUCAAUAAUUGAAAAAUAAUAUUAAUGGCAUAAAUUAAUUUAACAAAAAUUAAAAAAGGAUAUAAAAGCAAGCAAAUCACUUUGUUAUCAUCUCGGAAUGCAGAACAAAUCCCAAGAAUUGGAGACAGAUAAUAAGUGAACGGUAACAUAAGUGAAGUAGAAAGCAGAUCAGCCGAAGAGAUUUUUGGUCUGUAUCAUACUAGAAGGGGGAGCUACUUUAUUCUCCUUAAAUCUAAUCUAAUCCGCGAUGCAGUAUUUAAUUUAUUUAUUAAUAACUUAUGCACACAAUGGUAAAAAAACAAGAAAAGAAAACUCCUCUUUUAUAAUGCAAUUUUAACUAGUCAGCAACAGUAAUUAGAGAGGCGGUAUUGAAACAACAGAAAAGACAAGGGGAAGCAAAUGAGCGUCAGCAACUCAUCCCUUCUUGCAAACAUUCGUUGAGUAACGGGAAGGGAGAAUUAUUUGGAAGUUAGCAACUAACUGGAAAAAACGGUCGCAAGAAUGAGAGCCAUGGCGCAUAAUAAAGGCACCAGGAGUCCCGAAUUAUGAUAUUCAAUGCUUUAUUGCUUACAGCAUAGACCCUAAGGCUUUGGGAUCACAAAAACUGUAUUAAAAAAAAUAUUUAAAAAAAAGGACAAAAAUAUGUAAAUAUAAUUAUAUUAAAAAG